rnacentral:rRNA from 1 species
CGGCACGGGUGAGUAACGCGUAUGCGACCUGCCCGUUGCAGGGGGAUAAUCGGGAGAAAUCCCGUCUAAUACCGCGUAACGCCGCGGGGCUGCAUGGCCCUGCGGCCAAAGGGAGCGAUUCCGGCAACGGAUGGGCAUGCGUGACAUUAGCUAGUUGGCGGGGCAACGGCCCACCAAGGCGACGAUGUCUAGGGGUUCUGAGAGGAAGGUCCCCCCACACUGGUACUGAGACACGGACCAGACUCCUACGGAAGGCAGCAG